UAGGGAAUAUUGCUCAAUGGGGCGAAAGCCUGAAGCAGCAACGCCGCGUGGAGGAUGACACUUUUCGGAGCGUAAACUCCUUUUGUUGGGGAAGAAAUUUGACGGUACCCAACGAAUAAGCACCGGCUAACUCCGUGCCAGCAGCCGCGGUAAUACGGAGGGUGCAAGCGUUACUCGGAUUUAUUGGGUUUAAAGGGUGCGCAGGCGGCGUGCCAAGUCAGCGGUCAAAGUUCCGGGCUCAACCCGGUGAUGCCGUUGAAACUGGUGUGCUUGAGUGCGUGCGAGGGAGGCGGAAUGCGUUGUGUAGCGGUGAAAUGCAUAGAUAUGACGCAGAACUCCGAUUGCGAAGGCAGCUUUCCAGCACGCCACUGACGCUGAGGCACGAAAGCGUGGGGAUCGAACAGGAUUAGAUACCCUGGUAGU
rnacentral:rRNA from 1 species